rfam:TPA: Bos taurus chromosome 23, whole genome shotgun sequence.
CUAAAGGCCCUUUUCAGGGCCGCCCAAAUGUUCGCUAAAGAGCUGU